UUUAAGUGUAAGCAUGAGUUUUUCACCCAACAUUAGUCAUCCAUCUUAUUUAAAAAAAUUUUAUAAUUCGUAUUUUUUGUUGUUAUGAGAUGAUAAACAUGAAUAAUAUUUUAUAUGUGACUUAUGUUUUUAAAUUUUUUUAAAAUUCUUUUAAAUAAGAUAGACGAUUAAAGUAGAACGCGAACUUAUGACUGCACUUGAA
rfam:Oryza glumipatula chromosome 3, whole genome shotgun sequence.